UUGUUUGAUUCGAGCAAGUAGGUCUGAGAGAUAUUUGAAGUAAAUUUCAGUACAAGGAUAAAAUGAUAAUUUUAAAAUUUUUUUAAAAUUAUAAUUUUACAGUAAAAAUUAUUAAUUAAUCUAAUUAAUUAAUAUGUAUUAACCCUACACAAGGAUUUAAAUAUGAUAUAUAUAUAGCAUGCAUUUAAAUAUGAAAUUUAAACUUCUACAGUAAAUAUUUUACUGUUAUGUGUUCAGAACAUAUUACCUUCGUGCAGGUAGUCGAUCGCCGCAGUCUGAUCACCGUCGGAAAGGUCUGAUUAUUGUAAUGCAGCUACACAGUAUAUCUAGCCUCUACAGAUUAUCCACACGAAGCUUCCGGUCUGAUCGGCUCCUUAUGAAUGCUAGUUCGUUGCAGAACUCUUUCGAUGGCUGAUGCUGAUCGAACUCCUUCGAUCGGUGUCUGUCGAUUCUUCGAACAGACUGGAUCAUCAGCAAAGAUAGUAGAGAGAUUGAUGAAGCUCUUCCUAAAGUUUGGUGGACUCACGAUACUCGUAGCUCACCUUCUUACUUUCCGACCCUAGACAAUAACCUUAGGGUACACACAGAAAAUCCUGCACCCAAAAUCUUUCUUUUCUUUUCUCUCGAAAUUUUUGAACUCUCAAUCUCAUGCACAAGGCCUUCUCAUGCAAUCUCUCUCUCUAAGAAAGUCAUGUGCAUGCCCCACCUUCUCUUUCCUUUUUAAAAUAGUGCAAGACCGCAUCUUUACCGCAUCUUCACCGCAUGAGAGGACAAAGCUAGGUGGUUGCUCACUUGAAUUCAAAUCGAAUUUAAAUUCAAAUGCCAACCAACCAAUCUUUAUCCACUCUUGGCAUGAGAAGAAGGGGG
rnacentral:lncRNA from 1 species